GACGAACGCUGGCGGCGUGCUUAACACAUGCAAGUCGAACGGAAAGGCCCUGCUUUUGUGGGGUGCUCGAGUGGCGAACGGGUGAGUAACACGUGAGUAACCUGCCCUUGACUUUGGGAUAACUUCAGGAAACUGGGGCUAAUACCGGAUAGGAGCUCCUGCUGCAUGGUGGGGGUUGGAAAGUUUCGGCGGUUGGGGAUGGACUCGCGGCUUAUCAGCUUGUUGGUGGGGUAGUGGCUUACCAAGGCUUUGAAGGGUAGCCGGCCUGAGAGGGUGACCGGCCACAUUGGGACUGAGAUACGGCCCAGACUCCUACGGGAGGCAGCAGUGGGGAAUAUUGCACAAUGGGCGGAAGCCUGAUGCAGCAACGCCGCGUGCGGGAUGACGGCCUUCGGGUUGUAAACCGCUUUCGCCUGUGACGAAGCGUGAGUGACGGUAAUGGAUAAAGAAGCACCGGCUAACUACGUG
rnacentral:rRNA from 1 species